rnacentral:lncRNA from 1 species
AUUUGGUGUGAAAGCAAACUAGGUUGUCAUGGCUAGAUGUUUUCUGGUUGGCUAAUAUUUUACACGUAAAUAUGGCAAUCAUGCUACAGAUAACUGUCUUAUCUGCUGGCAGAUAACUCGUAUGAAUAAGCGAUGUUUUUCUGAAAGUUCUUGUACAAAGAAACACAUUUUGGAACUUUCCAUUGCAUAAAAUUGAGUAGGUUGACUAUCAGACUUGAAAAACCAAUAAUAUAGAGAAUUUAAUUUUUACCAAAAAUGAAAUAACUGGCGUUGUUAUGGUUACCAUGAUAUUUGAAAUGUCUUUUGUUUUAGUUUCAAAGUCAUCAAAUUUUUCACGUGCUGGUUGUAGCAGGAGCAUUUGUCCACCUUCAUGGUGUCUGCCAGAUGGCUUACUACAGAUAUACCGUGGGAUCAUGUCCUGGAUAGUUCAUGGCACAGCAAUAUAUUAGUAAGCUAGUAUGUAAAUGUCAUUCAAUUUAUAUAUUGCAUUCCUUGGUGUAAAUUGUUAUAAAUAAAUAAUAAUAUACAUGAAAAUAAUUCUCGAUUCUUCUUGGCUAAGAAGAGUACAAUGCUAUGAUCGAAAUACUUUAUACCAAAAAAGAAAUAUUUGGAAAGCGUCAAAACAAAAGAUAUUUUGAUUUAAGUUUUGACUUCUGACAAUUCUAUUACAAGUUGACGUUUGUGAUGUUACUCUGAGUGUAUAUCCACAUCACAAACAUAUUAUUCACCUGAGUACACAACACCGGUACCAACACAGAAAAAAAUCUAUUACAAGUUGUUGUGUCAUUCAUAUGAGUGAGUUUCAGGCAUGCAAAUGACUGCAUAUUUUUUUCAUGUACAUUAUUAGUAUAAGUAAUAGUAUGGUUUCCCAUGCAAUUUGGAAAAAACAAAUCUUGAUCGUCUUUAAAAGGCCAUUCGUGCAUGCUUUCCAAAUUGCACUCGAAGCCAUACUAUUACGAAAUGAAUGCAAUUCCGAAAAUUGAGUGUUUUAGAAUCAUGUUUUGAUUAAUAAUCUUAUAUGUGUUUUUAUGUGUGUUAAAAUCGUGCUUUGAUUAAUAAAAUCAUGAUUUUAACACUUAAUUUUCGGAAUUGCAUUAAUUUAUUAUAAAUAAUUAUGAGUAAUUUUCAGUGGUUAAGGUAUAAAUAUUAUUUCUAGUUGAUUUGAUGUAAACAUUUGGGUAUAUAAUUAAUUUAGGUAAUAACUUAAUAUAACACAACGUGUAUUUGCAGUAUGAUCAAAAAUUUUAUUUUCUUAAACGAAAGUGCUCGUAAAACGGUAUAAUAACUUGUUUUGAAGAUUUUUGUUCGCAUGCUUAGUUCUUGAGAUAUUUCAUUUUGUUUGUAACCAUGUGACGUCAUUUACUCAAUUACAUAUAUAAUGAGAUAUCAGUAAUUGACUAAUUGUUGUGUAUCUUUGCUAUUUUUAUCAAAAUAUUUCGAAAGAUGUUUGUUAAUUUAACCUGCAUCAUUACAGUUGAUUUCAUAUAACUUUUCCCUGAAUGUUCGUUCCGAACUUCGUUGUGAAGUUCAAAAGUUCAUACUGAAAUUUACAAGCCGGUUUGUAAACAAAGCCUCUGAUUGGUCACUGAACAAAAAUAAGCCAAUCAGAAGCUUUGUUUACAAACCGGCUUGCGAAAUUCAGUAUGAACUUUUGAAGUUCGGAACGAAGUUCGCAACAUUCAGGGAAAAGUUACGUGAAAUCAACUGUAAGCAUACUGUGUUUUUUAACAAAUCGAUCAAAAAUAGCAAAGAUACACAACAAUUACUGAUAUCUCAUUAUAUAUGUAAUUGAGUAGAUGACGUCACAUGGUUACAAACAAAAGAAAUAUCUCGAGAACUAAGCAUGGGAACAAAAAUCUUCAAAACAAGUUAUUAUACAGUUUUACGAGCAUUUUCGUUUAACCUUUGGUUUAAGAGAAUAAAAUUUUUGAUCAUACUGCCCCUUUAAAGUAUUCUUGUACAUGUAAUUUACUGCAGAGUUUUGAAUACUUACUCAAGUUUAGACUUUAGAGUAAUGAAUCUGAUAAUUAACAGAACUAUUUGCCAAGGUAUUGGGCAGGUCCAAUAACACUGAUCAAGUUGCUCUCUCGUCAUGUUGUAGAUUAUCUUUCAGAUGGUUGAAGAACGUAACAAUGAUAACGAACAUUAGACAAAGAAUAUUGCCUAUUAUUAAAGAACUGUUGAAUGAGGUUGAGCAUGAUAUGAAGAAUUAUCAAGCUAUAGAAGUUUGUGUUAAGAAUGAGGUAGAAGAUGUUAAGAAUUAUCAAACUCAGGGCUUGAUGUGAAAAAUUACCAAAUUGAGUGCUUGAUAAUUCUUCAUAUCUGGCGAAAACCGAAUUCGAUAAUUGUUUUAUUAUUUAUUGUGGAUUCAAUUCGUCGAAAUAAUGACCAGUUCAUUUUUUCAUAGUCAACGUUAUUACGUCAGUCGUUGAAUAUUAUGUCAAAACUCCAUAUUUGGUCAGCUAUUAACUUGACGUGAUGAUUUCACAGUUGGCUCUUAAGCCAAUCAGAAACCAUGAAUUUUAAAUAAAUAGUAAAACUAAUUAUUGAAUUCUGUUUUCGCAAGAUGUGAAGAAUUAUCAAGCCCUUAUAGUUUGUGUUAUCUUCGGGAUUGAUAUUCUUUAUAUCCUGCUCAACCUCAUUCAAUAUUUUUUAAUUAUUAAUUGACUCAUAAAACUCUCAAGAUUUAUAAAUGCAUGCGAUGUAACCUGAUUAAUAGAUUUAUAGCGUAAUUCUCAUUUUUGAGAGUGAAGGGAUGUACGAAAACAAAAAAUACAAUAUUUAAACAUGCU